rnacentral:rRNA from 1 species
UACGGAGGGUGCAAGCGUUAUCCGGAUUUACUGGGUUUAAAGGGUGCGCAGGCGGAUAUGUAAGUCAGUGGUGAAAUCUCUAGGCUUAACCUGGAAAUUGCCGUUGAUACUAUAUAUCUUGAAUGCUGUGGAGGUAAGCGGAAUAUGUCAUGUAGCGGUGAAAUGCUUAGAGAUGACAUAGAACACCUAUUGCGAAGGCAGCUUACUACGCAGAGAUUGACGCUCAUGCACGAAAGCGUGGGGAUCAAACAGG